rnacentral:lncRNA from 1 species
AACCUUCUAGAAAGUCCUGGCUGGGCAUGGUGGUACACUCUCAGCACUCGGGAGGCUGAGGCAGGAGGAUCCUUGCGAGUUUGAGACCAGCCUGGGCUACAAAGUGAGCUCAAGGCCAGCCUGAGCUGCAUAUCAAGACCCUGCCUCAAAAAGACAAAAAGAAAAGUCCUACAGGUGCCCUGAGAAGCUCACAGCCUCUCCUCUGCUGCCCACCAGAAAGGUUCCCCCAGUUCUGUUCCCCGGGGACCCAGCCCGGCCAGUGCAGAGAGCCACCGUGGGACACGAGGACCUGGACACCCGGAGGACCUAAGUGUCCUCCGCGGCACGUGGCCGGGGGACCUCAGGGGGCUCCAUGUCCACGUGGAAAGCUCCAUGCCCACCCUCUCGCCGGUGCUGAGGGCCGUGGGACGCUGCGCAGGGGUGACGCACGCGCGUUAGGGGCAGUGCUCUGCGCGCGCCUAGUCCCUCAGUGUGACGUCCCGCCGCGUUGCGGGCACUUGCCGGGGGAUCCCGCCACCCUGGCGCGAGAACGUCUGCAAGCAGCGGAAACAAAGCAAGAGGAACCAGGGAGCCCGUGUGCGUGCGGAGAGGGGCCGCUGUGUCGAGGCGUCGCCAGCUGGUGGAGAGCCUGCAAUGAGGGUACUUUUCCCAGACAGGGCCUGGGGCCACCACUGCUCAGAGCCGCCCCUCAGCCAUACUGCCUCCUCCUGGAAGCACAAACACAAGACAGCCUCAGCCCGGUGCCCAGGAGCCAGGCUGGGGCUCCAGUUUUGAUUCUCAUCUGAAGCAUUUACAAUCAAAUUCAUGGAAGAUUCUAACAAGUACUACAAACAAAU